GAUGAACGCUGGCGGCGUGCCUAAUACAUGCAAGUCGAGCGAACAGACGAGGAGCUUGCUCCUGUGACGUUAGCGGCGGACGGGUGAGUAACACGUGGAUAACCUACCUAUAAGACUGGGAUAACUUCGGGAAACCGGAGCUAAUACCGGAUAAUAUAUUGAACCGCAUGGUUCAAUAGUGAAAGACGGUUUUGCUGUCACUUAUAGAUGGAUCCGCGCCGCAUUAGCUAGUUGGUAAGGUAACGGCUUACCAAGGCAACGAUGCGUAGCCGACCUGAGAGGGUGAGCGGCCACACUGGAACUGAGACACGGUCCAGACUCCUACGGGAGGCAGCAGUAGGGAAUCUUCCGCAAUGGGCGAAAGCCUGACGGAGCAACGCCGCGUGAGUGAUGAAGGUCUUCGGAUCGUAAAACUCUGUUAUUAGGGAAGAACAAAUGUGUAAGUAACUAUGCACGUCUUGACGGUACCUAAUCAGAAAGCAACGGCUAACUACGUG
rnacentral:rRNA from 1 species